UACGGGGGGGGCAAGCGUUGUUCGGAAUUACUGGGCGUAAAGGGCUCGUAGGUGGCCAACUAAGUCAGACGUGAAAUCCCUCAGCUUAACUGGGGAACUGCGUCUGAUACUGGAUGGCUUGAGUUUGGUAGAGGGAUGCGGAAUUCCAGGUGUAGCGGUGAAAUGCGUAGAUAUCUGGAGGAACACCGGUGGCGAAGGCGGCAUCCUGGACCAACACUGACACUGAGGAGCGAAAGCCAGGGGAGCAAACGGG
rnacentral:rRNA from 1 species